AACGCACCUUGCGCUCUCUGGUAUUCCGGGGAGCAUGCCUGUUUGAGAAUCGCAAAGCAACACAAAUCAUAUUCUUGUUUUGAAAGUAUUUUUUCGGAAAUAUUUUUUGGGCUCGAGUGUGGAGUUGAGCCGCAUUCUCUCUUUUCUCUGAAAGGAGGGAUGGCUUGAAAUACAGAAGGACGGGGUCUGGGUUAAACCAGGCUUUUCCGGGUCAGACUAAUUAUACACGAGUAAUAAUAGUUAAUGCUUGCAAUAUAGCGUUAUUCUUUUGCUCUGUGGGUUUUGAUCUGGGCGUUUGUCGUCCUCACACUUCUUCUCUUUUAAUCGGGGGGAGGAGGAAGCGAUAUCUUGACGAGGAUUCAAAAUCUUCGGAUUUUGGCCUCUGACCUCUUAGAUCUCAAAUCAGGCAAGAGUACCCGCUGAACUUAA
rnacentral:misc_RNA from 2 species